rnacentral:rRNA from 1 species
UUCUGGAAAAAUACCCACCCUGAACACACCUGAUCUCAUCUGAUCUCAGAAGCUAAGCAGGGUUGGGCCUAGUUAGUACUUGGAUGGGAGGUACUCUUUGACAUAAU